rnacentral:rRNA from 1 species
UACAGAGGGUGCGAGCGUUGUCCGGAAUCACUGGGCGUAAAGGGCGCGUAGGCGGCUUGAUAAGGUUGCGGUGAAAGCCCGGGGCUCAACCCCGGGUCGGCCGUGGCAACUGUCGAGCUGGAGCACUGUAGAGGCAGGUGGAAUUCCGGGUGUAGCGGUGGAAUGCGUAGAGAUCCGGAAGAACACCGGUGGCGAAGGCGGCCUGACUGGGC